rnacentral:rRNA from 1 species
CCUACGGGUGGCAGCAGUGGGGAAUAUUGGGCAAUGGGCGCAAGCCUGACCCAGCAACGCCGCGGGAAGGAAGAAGGCUUUCGGGUUGUAAACUUCUUUUCUGAGGGACGAAGAAAGUGACGGUACAGCAGGAAUAAGCAACGGCUAACUACGUGCCAGCAGCCGCGGGAAUACGUAGGGGGCAAGCGUUAUCCGGAUUUAUUGGGUGUAAAGGGCGUGUAGGCGGGAAAGCAAGUCAGAUGGGAAAACUCAGGGCUCAACCCUGAGCCUGCAUUUGAAACUGUUUUUCUUGAGUGCUGGGGAGGCAAUCGGACUUCCGUGUGUAGCGGUGAAAUGCGUCGAUCUACGGAGG